UGCAUAUUAAGCUCUAAAAAUAUAACAAAAUUGAAAAUGAUAUAUCAUGUUUGUAUGAUAUUUAAAGUACUCUAGAUAAUAAUUGCUAGUGGGUGAUAAUAUGGUACACUGGCAUGUAAUUUAAAAUACUCUAGAUAAUAAUUGCUAAUGGGUGAUGAUAUGACAUGCUUGCAUGUUGAACUUUAGAGGUUAGUGGGCAUUUACUUCAUAAUAACAUAGGAUUUGUGGACAAGUGAUUAUUAUUAAGAAGUUUGUUUCUAUUGGAUUGUUUACUGUUUCAUGGUGUGGUUGCUGAGGUUGUGUUCAUUGAUAUCGCAAGAUGUAGAGGCCGACCGAGAUAUUUAUUCCAUUAUCUAGAAAUUCCUCCUCCUAACAUUAUUUAUUUCCCUGUGAUGAAUUUUAUCGGCAAUGGUUGAGUGAAUACACAGCCUAGCUUGAAAUCCUAUAUCCACUACUGCAGACAGACUUUGAUAGUGGUGCAGUGGUGAAUUCCAGUAUAUGUAGCCAUGAUCAUGUUAGAAUUAAAUCGGCUAGGCCCCAUUUAAUCUUAGUAAAUUUCAUGGGCCGACAAAUAAUGUUAAAGGAUUAAUACCACCUUAUAUACACUGCUAAUUCAGAGCACUUGUUGAGCGGUUGAGGUGAUGGUAGGACUGCCACACAUGCGCGCGUCAAGCCAAGCCAUGGCCGAGGCCUAAGCAUGGGUGCAGUGCGGUGCGGACGGCUACCUGUCUCCCUAACAUUUUGCUUUGAUGAGCAAAGGCGUAACUGACGGCGUUAAUCAUGACGUUACUCAAAAAUGGACGAAAUCAUCAUAAAUAAUGCUUUGAUGAGCAAAGGCGUAACCGACAGCGAUUAAUGAUGACAUUACUUCAAUAACAGACAAAAUCAUCAUCAUUAAUAAAUUGUGUCAACUCCCUGUAACGUUCCUCUUUCUUGCAUGCAUCCUUAUCACCUCCUCCGGGAUAGACAAAAAGAACUCUCUUUUUGGUUCAUCUCAUAUGUGAUCCUCCCGUUCUUUAUCGGUACACCACACCAACUCCCCGUAACAUUCCUCCUCCAGUGAUUAAUGGUGAUGUUACUGAAAGUAAAGGUGUAACCGACGGUGAUUAAUGAUGAUGUUUCUCCAAUAAUGGACGAAAUCAUCAUCAUUAAUCGCUAUGAACUCCCCGUAAGGCCGUAACGUUCCUCUCUCUCAUGCGCAUCCUUAUCACUUCCUCCGGGAUAGACACCUGUAACGUUCCUCUGUCUCUCGCGCAUCCUUAUCACUUCCUCUGAGAUAGACAGAAAGAACUCACUUCUCGGUUCAUCUCUCCUAUGAUCCUCCUAUUCUUCCUCGGUACACCACACCUUCUGGUCUGUUCCUGCACUACUUCUGCUUUUCCUCAGUUCUGAGCACUUGCGCGCACGAGUGCUCAGAACGAGCAGUCCUCCCGAACUCCGUCCACCUGAGGACUUGCGCGCAUUAGUGCUCGGAACGAGCAGGCCUCCGGAACUCUGUCCACCUAAGAACCUGCAUUGGUAGGUGAGCGAUUAUGUUUUUGGGAGCGUGUUCUUCGCACAACUACUCUCGGUACUGCAUCCUCUUUGUCAAGGUCUUCUCUCUCUACAACGUCAUGUCUACCCGGUGCCAGUGCUACUGGAGGAGGAGGGAAUGGUAGCACUGUAGGAGGCAAAACCGAGAACGUCAACAUCAACGGAGGCAACACCAAUGCCUCAUCAUUCUCUCGAGUGUUCACUGGGUUUACAACAGUCUGGAUUGCUUACAACAAGAUAUGUUACUGAGAAAAAUAAGCACAUGUGGCUAUAUAAAUGGUCUUUCAUCCAUGGUGUGAUCUCCAAUAUAGUGAUCUUCACUGAAUGCAACCUUGCUUUAAAGUGCAGCAGUACAAAGCUUUCAGUUAAAUUUGAAGACAGUAACAUGCAUGGAUAGUGUGCUAUGGCUUCAUUGAACUUGAGUUGGCUACUUGUGUGGUUCGCAUAUGCAUUUGCAAAAUAUACAACAACAACAAAAAUGAAUUUCACCUAAACAUGAAGAUAUGCUUGUACUCUGGCUCUCUGGCCUACUUUAGUGUCUAAAUUUACUUCGUGUGCAAUUUCAUACAACUAGCUAUUAGUUUGAA